UAGGGAAUCUUCGGCAAUGGACGAAAGUCUGACCGAGCAACGCCGCGUGAGUGAAGAAGGGUUUCGGAUCGUAAAACUCUGUUGUUAGAGAAGAAAAAGGACGUUAGUAACUGAACGUCCCCUGACGGUAUCUAACCAGAAAGCCACGGCUAACUACGUGCCAGCAGCCGCGGUAAUACGUAGGUGGCAAGCGUUGUCCGGAUUUAUUGGGCGUAAAGCGAGCGCAGGCGGUUUCUUAAGUCUGAUGUGAAAGCCCCCGGCUCAACCGGGGAGGGUCAUUGGAAACUGGGAGACUUGAGUGCAGAAGAGGAGAGUGGAAUUCCAUGUGUAGCGGUGAAAUGCGUAGAUAUAUGGAGGAACACCAGUGGCGAAGGCGGCUCUCUGGUCUGUAACUGACGCUGAGGCUCGAAAGCGUGGGGAGCAAACAGG
rnacentral:rRNA from 1 species